CACCAAAAACAGACCUCACUUCA
rnacentral:siRNA from 1 species